CGUUUCUUUUUACCUUCCAUAAAUUCUCUACUCUUUUACCCUAAUCACCAUUUCAUUCUGCUUUCUUUACUGCAGAAACACCCUUUACACCAAUCACCCAUCACCAAUCAUCCUCAUUUCCUCCCGAUCAUUCGGGUCAUUUUUCUCCAUAUCUCACUCCAAUAUCUUCCACAAGGCAACAAACAAAGUACGACUUACUCAAGAAAUAGAAGAAAAAGAAAGGCUCAGUUGACCAAGAGGAUUAGCAUUGCUUUUAUAAGACGAGUUACGUUUGACUUCGGACUUUGUCCAAUCAAGGUGGGCUUUAUUUUACAAAUGUAUCUUGAGUUAUAUAAGCUCUGAUAUUUCAUGAAAGUUAUUUGUUUAUCCAAUAUAAAUGUUUUUUGUGCGUUCUGUAUUGUUUAAUGCUCACAUAAGCAUCGAUCGAGAUUUCAUUUGGCCUAACAUGUUAGAUGAGGAUUGUGUACACAAGGUUAGUGGCUCGAUGGGUUAAUCGUCAUCGUGCACUAACAAAGCUAAGAGGUGUUAUAAGGGUGCUUGUCUGGAUGUGUUCCGAAGCACAGUUAUGAUUAUUGAUCUGACCGGGUGUGUCCCGAGAUUGAUAAAUGGGAGAAAAGAAAGCGAUCCGACGGUGGCUAGAGGUCCGGGAUCAUAAGCAGCGAGUAACAAUCGAACGUUACAUGGCGUCACUUAAUGAGAAAAAGUUUUAUCAUGCUUAGAAAUGGAUUUGUGUUUUAAAACCUUCUGAGUUAUGAUUGUGAUAUUGGAUAAACUGUCUUGGUUAUUUCAUAAAAUAUUUAUAAAA